AUUGAACGCUGGCGGCAGGCUUAACACAUGCAAGUCGAGCGGGGAAGGGUAGCUUGCUACCUAACCUAGCGGCGGACGGGUGAGUAAUGCUUAGGAAUCUGCCACUUAGUGGGGGACAACAUUCCGAAAGGAAUGCUAAUACCGCAUACGUCCUACGGGAGAAAGCGGGGGAUCUUCGGACCUUGCGCUAAAUGAUGAGCCUAAGUCGGAUUAGCUAGUUGGUGGGGUAAAGGCCUACCAAGGCGACGAUCUGUAGCGGGUCUGAGAGGAUGAUCCGCCACACUGGGACUGAGACACGGCCCAGACUCCUACGGGAGGCAGCAGUGGGGAGUAUUGGACAAUGGGCGGAAGCCUGAUCCAGCCAUGCCGCGUGUGUGAAGAAGGCCUUAUGGUUGUAAAGCACUUUAAGCGAGGAGGAGGCUACUUAGAUUAAUACUCUAGGAUAGUGGACGUUACUCGCAGAAUAAGCACCGGCUAACUCUGUGCCAGCCGCCGCAGUAA
rnacentral:rRNA from 1 species